UCACCACUCACCAAUCGGGACGAGACCAUUCAUUUGUUUCCCCCUGUCUCCAGUAGAUAGACUGAAUUGUACUCGUAGCUUGUAAAUUACUCGUGUUUUAAAAGUUCAGAAAACCCAACACGAUAUUUUCUGCGCAUUCGAAUAUUUAAAAUUACCACUUACAGAUUUACAAGAAGGCCUGGAUGCUAUGCAUAAUAACACUUCCACUGAUUGUAUUUCUGCAAUUGUUUAUUGACGAAAUGGCUCAGAUAAAAUGGUGCUGUAAUUGCACAGCUCUGUCUUGCAUCCACAAUAAUCUAUCUGCGCGACAGAAGUUUUCACGGUGUUGCAUCUGUCAUCAGCCUGACCGUUAUUAGGUUGUUGCGCAAUAAAGAUGGCUUACUGUUUCCGUUAAUGGUCGUGGUGACCUUUGCACAAUGAUUGUUUGGUCCAGUACAAUCCAGUGGAGUCACUGCAGUAUUAUCAAAGGGAUCGGAACAACUAGCACCAACACAGUGGUAGCACUUUAUUGCAUGAGCUAAAAACACCGAAAAUUUCAACUAUUACGUACGAUUUCAACACAAUCAACGUUAGUAGCAUGGACCAGCUGCAUGGAGAUAAGAAUGCAGAUGUAUGGUGAACCGAGCAGCAUAAUUUGCAUUCCCGUCACGCGUAAUAUUAUGAUGUUUUUUUAUUGUCUCCAGCGCGCUCUGAUAAAAAUAGUCAAAGCGAAAU